AAUAUUGAAGUAAUAUAAUACAGUUUAAAUACGACUUAAAAUUAAGAGACAAUUCUCCAGUAUUU
rnacentral:tRNA from 1 species